GAGUUCCCACUGUGGCACAGUGGGUUAAAAAUCCAACUGCAGCAGCUUGGAUUGCUGAGGAGGUACAGGCUUGGCAUAGCUUGCAGCAGUGGCUCAGAGUCAGUCCGUGGCCUGGGCACCUUCCGUAUGCUGCAGGUGUGGCCAUAAAAAGAAAAAGGAAAUAAUAAAAAAGAAUUACUGAGUGACUUUAAAACCAACACAAGAGUUCCUGUUGAGGUUCAACGGGUUAAGAACCCAGUGCUGUCUCUGAGGAUGUGGCUUCGAUCCCUGGCCUCACACAGUGGGUUAAGGAUCCAGUGUUGUCACAAGCUACAAUUUAGGUUGCAUAUGCAACUCGGAUCCAGCAUUGCCAUGGCUCUGGUGUAGGCUGGCAGCUGCAGCUCCAAUUUGACCUCCAGCCUGGGAACUAACAUAUGCUGCAGGAGCGGCCCAAGAAAUAGCAACAACAAAAACAACAAAAAAGACAAAAAAAAAAAAAACGUGUUGUGCUACCUGCCUGUACUGUACAUGUUAAGAACAAUGAAAAGAUGCACAGUUGAAUGCUUCAUUUAAAAAAAAGCUCAAAUGUUCUCUGAAAGAAAAAGAUGAAGUGAAGUUUAUAUUUGUGACCUAUGAUUUUUUUUUUUUUUUUCCUCUUGCUCUGUGUAUCAGUGCCUCUCCCUGGAAAAGAGCCUUAGGCUAUUUUUAAAGACCUUGUUGAGUGGAGAUGUAAAGAAGAAGCAUAGAGAUAUUGUACAACUUUAUUUUUAGCACUACAGACUAUGUAUCUACCUCUCAAACUUAGGAAAAUAGCUCCCAACAUUCAGUGGACCCGUUACUCUGUACCAAGAUCUGAUGUCGUGUUUGUUCUUGUGUCACAUAUGUUGGCUCUUGUUUUUCUCUCUUGAUGCUUUUUGAGUCCAUGCAUUGAGAUUUUAGAAAGAAUGUUAACGUUUAAGGGUUGGUGGUUAAUGUAUUUGUGUGUGUUGGGUGUCUGUAAUAUGGAAAUUGAAAAUAGGGUCAUUAUUAAUCAAUUAGUCAAUAGAAGUAGGCAGAUGCUUUCUCAGUUCUAUGCCAUGCACGUAUUAUUUCUUAUAAAACUGUGCACUAACCCAAGGUUGCUUUUUAAAAGUACUGUUAUUUUUUAAGGACUGUUAUUGUUUGGUAUCAACCUUCUUGUAAACGAGCCACACUGAUAGAUAAGAUAUUAAUAUUUGCAAAGGUGGAAGUAGAACACGCAUUGAAGAGGCUAGGGUGAAAUGUAUUUACAGAGGAAUGUAUUUACUUUCAGACUGUUUAAAGAUUCAUAUUCUUAAACUCCGCUCUGUUUGGGAUGCCCUUCACCUUUAGCCCUUUGAAUAAAUUGAUAUUCAUCCCUCAGGUCCACUCCUCCUCCUUAGAGCUUUCUGGGCCUGACCCUUUUGGGCUGAAUCAGUAUUUGUUCCUCUAAUAGCUCCCUGUAGUGAUUUACUGAAGUGUGAGAAUUCUCAGCUAAAUGUGAGCUCUUUCAUGUAAGGACCAUCUCUAGGAGCCCCAGUGGAGUCUGAAGAUUAUACACUAAAUGGUUGAUUUUUGGUUUAAGGAAUAAAGUUUAUGAUUUGCCUUUGCAGUGGAAAAUAUAUUAGAGUAAUUUUGCAUUAUAUAGCUGUGAGCAACAUACACCAUAACUCUCGGUUUUAGAAAAACUGAGGUCCAAAGCAGCUGUAUUGCUUGCUAAAGUUAUACAGAAUGUUCCUUAAACUGAGUUGGCACUGUGUUCAUUUCUCUUUCCCCUCCUAUGUACUUUUCAAGACCAGCAUUUGCCAAACUAUGCUGCACAGACACUAGGGCCUUAGGCUAUGGAACUGGAGUCAUGUCCAGUAAAGGAGAAUGUGUAAUAUUGGGAGAAAAAAACCUUCAGUUAAAGAAAAUUUAAUGGUUUAAAAAACAAAAACAAACAAACAAAAAACUCCAGGACUCUUCUGAACUAUAAUGGGCUCAAGUGCAUAUUGCCAAAGAGAUGGCUAUAGCAUGCAGUGUUUUGCAAAGUCAUAUAUUAACACAACCCCUCUUUAAAAUUUCUCUUCUCUUAAAAAACUAUUUUUUUUGAAAGAUACGAUUUAGAGGAGCUGUACUGAGUGAAUUCUGUCUGAUGUUCAUAAGUUCUUUAUGUCAAAGUCAUCUUGACUUUGUAUGUGAACAAAAGAAAUGGAAAAAUAUUGGUUGUGGGUUUUUUUCCUGGAUUUGGCUCCGACUUACUCCGUGAGUUUUGACAGAUUCCAAAAUGGCAGGAAAUUGUUUCCGUAGUAUCUGUUGGGAGAACAUUUAAAUUUAUCAAAUUCAAAUCCUAGGCUUAAUAUGAUUUCCAGUUUAAUUACAAGGGGGUCGUUAGAGGUAGUUAUAUUGUGAUUUGAGAAGGCACCCUCAGAAAGCUAAUAGAGAUUGGAGGUUUGGGGAGAGGACCCACAGCACUAGUCAUAGAGAGAAAGAACCCGUGAGUGUCCAGGAUCAUCAGUGCGAGGCAGUAUAAAUGCUGUCGCUACGUGGGUUCAUAAUGGUAGAAGGGACAGUUGAGUUUUUAUAGCUUCCCCAAGGGAAGAAGUAGCUUCAUUUGGUUAAAUGUGGCCUGGAAUAAAACAUCCACACAAAAGAAAUUGUGGAUUUCAGUAGGAGAAAUUGACUCAUGCUGAAUGGUCUCUCUGGACUGGAAAGGGAAGGGAGAGCUCUAGCUGGGAGUUAGUGUGGGAGGAGUGUGCCUCAGGCCCCCAGACUCUGCUGUCUUCUAGCUUUAUGACCUCAGGCAACUCCAUCUCUCUGUUUACUUAAGAGAAAAGUGGGAGGUCUUACCUAAUAUGACUGAUUCUAUGAUACCGAGCUGGGAGGGUCAAAGAAAGGAAGGCAGACUUGUCUGCACAGUUGAUUUUUGAAGGAGCAUGUUAGAGACAUGAUCACAGACUGAUUUUUUUUAACUUUUUAAAAAAUUAUUAUUAACGUAUAGUUGAUUUGCAAUGUUCCAUCAUGUUCUGUUGUACAACAAAGUGACCCAGUCACACACGUUUCCCUGUGCUAUACAGUAAGGUCCCAUUGCCCAUCCAUUGCGGAUAUAACUGUUUGCAUCCCCCAAACCCCCAAAAUGCCCAUCCCUCCCACUCCCUCCUGACCUGGGAACCC
rnacentral:lncRNA from 1 species